GAGAGAGAGAGAGAGAGAGUUUUAGGGUUAAUUCAAGCUACAUUGCUCGACGUGCGGCAAAAGUCUAAUAUAAGCACAACAUAUUCAUACCUACAAUUUUCACAUACAGAUUAUAGAUUGAUGUAAAUGACUACAAACUCCGAUCUUGCAACAUUCAUCUAGUUGCACGUGUGCACCCUUACAAGCAAAUGCCUCAAUAAAAACAACCAGCAGAUGCAUUUUAAUUAUCAGUUAAAGCACAUAAAAGUCGAAUUAUUGUAGUGAAUAAUCGACUAAGGAUGGGUGUCAUAGUAGCAAUCAAACACAAGCUUCAGCUCCAUGGGACAGCAAACCCAUUUCAGGUCAAGUGUCAAGCAAAAUUUGUUUCUGAUUCUCCACUUCGAAAGAACUUGCACAUUCACCUUCCCCCAAACCGUUUGUGCUUUCCCUGAAAAGUCCAUUGCAUAUUGUUAAACCUAUAGCAAUUGCUUUAUGCAAACAUUUUCAUGAGCAAUAACACAUACACCUGUAUUACAAUUACAUAAUAGGCAUGCAAGUAUUAUUAUGCACGUGCAGUCCAGUAAAGUUAACACAGCAAAUUAGCAACUCUUAAGUGGAAAUUUUCAAUUGAUACAUAAUGUAGCAAUAUUGAUUAGGCAAAAAUUGGUCCUAACAUUGUCUGCCAAACAAACAGAUUCUCCAACUUCAACAUAUACAAAGAUAACCCAAUUCUUCUAUAAUCAGUUUGCUAACACUCAUUACAAGCUGAAUAAACAUUAUGAAGUAAUUCGCAUGCAUCACGGAGUUGAAGAUAAAAGCUCACACAUUACUGAGAAAUUGCAUAUGCAAAUGGCAAUGCCUUCAAUCUCCAUCACCUUCAACAAAAACUUCUAAUAACACACGCAAAGAGAAAGAAAAAGUCACAGCCAUUUUGCAUGGAAUAAGCUAUGCAUCAAAGCUCUAAAAGGUAUUACUGCAGAUUCGCAAAAUUACCUCAGUUCCAUUGCUAUCUUCAGAAUGAGUUCAUCUCCAAGCAGUAAGUCCUUCUCUUUACCAGCAUCUUUGCGGCAGUACCAUAAGGCUCCUCAAAUGCAGUGGAAACCCAAAAUGCAUCACAGACCUCCUUCUUGGAGGUAGACUGCUCGCUAGGUCUAAUAGCAACCAAAGUUGCCCCUUUCAACACAAGUCCAUCAGGCAAUUCCAAGUAGGGUGCAUACCAAAGUCGCAUAUUCAGAGCAGGCACAAGCGUCCUCUUCGAUGCAGAAGAAGCUGAUAAGGGCUUCACCCUCAACUCCUCCAGUUGUUCCCUAUUCAUACACAGCACUCCCUGCCCAUCAGCAUCAGUCAGUACCAAGGUAUCAAGAGUCUUGUGUUCUGCUAUUAUGGGUUGAAGCAAGUAAUGCCUUGCAGAGGCAGCAAUCAAGGAACUAAUAGUCCAUACAACCCUCAAUUUCAAGCCCCCGUUGGUGUAAAAUGACUCAGGUAUGCUCCCAUUAUCAUCACCACCACUAUUACCAUUACCACCAUCGUUGCUGUGGUGGUUAUUCACGUUCCCAGAAACCCCAUCGGAGCAGUUUUCUUGCAAGACAGAGCAACUCUUGUUAUGUCCAUUGUUGAUUACCGAAGCAGCACCUAGAAUAACACAAUUAUCAAGGGUAGAUCCGAAAUCAGCCCUCCAUUUCAGAAGCACCCCAUCAUCAAUACCCAAUUCCCCACUAGGCAACUCGAUCCGUAAAAACCGAAUUUCGUUAAAAUUCUUAAGAACCUGAGUAGGGGAAUGAUGGGUAACACCACCCUGAUCCAUUUCCCCUUCAUCCUCAUUACCAACGGAAAGGGAAGAAAACGACGACGCAGAACUCGAUGAAGAAGAAAAAAACCCAUUCCGCGAAGGGUAAGAAUUUAUCAUCUCUCUCCUUGGUCCAAGCAGCUGACCAAGAGCCUGGAAAGGCUUAACAAAGCCACCAAAGACCAACCGAAAAAUAGACGAGAGCCCAGAAGACGAACUGGAAGACCGAGAUUUCUCAGAGGAAGAAGAAGGGGAAGUAUCGUCAUCGGAAAUAACGCAAUCGACUCUUACAACAACGUUGUCUACUUGGGGGACGAGAGAGUGGAAACGGCGUGAAACGACGCAGCAUCUACCGAGAGCCUUGACAUCUCCGAUUUUGUUAAACACUAGCAAGAGGAGGGAGUCGGGAAGACGGUCGAAGUGGUCGAUUGAGAGAGACUCCGGCUCCGGGUAGAUUCUGGAGGUCGGAUCUGGGCGGAAGGAUGUCAUUUUUAGGAAAUUACAGAAGUAUUUUGGAAAAGAAGAAAAAUUAGAGAUCUGGGAUUCACAAAGAAGAAGAAAAAGAAGAAGAAGCAAGAGAAUGGUUAAAAAAGUUGUUACAUUCUAAGCAAAUUAGCCAAAUAAUUCCAAAUUCCAGACACCAUUUGUUAGCUCAGUACGAAGAUCAGCAUCUUCCUUUGUGAAGAAGUCUGAGUACCAAGAUUUUCUUCUCCUUCUUCUUGGCCUUUUCUUUCUUUUUA
rnacentral:misc_RNA from 1 species